AACCUAGCACACCUGCGGUGUGUACCUGCGGAGGGAUCAUUAGUGAAUAAACAAGUGUGGGUUGUGCUGACCUUCUGGUAUGUGCACGCCUGCCAAUGUUUUAUUUCCUUCUUCCCACCUGUGCACUUUGUGUAGACCAUGUAUGCUAUUUUCAGGCCUUCUAAGGCUUGGUUUUGGGGGGGUUGCUUGUUUGUAAUGAAUGGGCUCCUCUUGGGUAUGCAGGGUCUAUGUUUUAUACCA
rnacentral:misc_RNA from 1 species